rnacentral:rRNA from 1 species
UUUAACUGAAGAGUUUGAUCAUGGCUCAGAUUGAACGCUGGCGGCAGGCUUAACACAUGCAAGUCGAGCGGGGG